rnacentral:rRNA from 1 species
UACGAGAGGCCCGAACGUUAUUCGGAAUUACUGGGCUUAAAGAGUUCGUAGGCGGCGCAGCAAGUAGGGUGUGAAAGCCCUCGGCUUAACCGAGGAAUUGCGCUCUAAACUACUGUGCUUGAGGAAUCUAGAGGUGAGCGGAACUGAUGGUGGAGCGGUGAAAUGCGUUGAUAUCAUCAGGAACACCGGAGGCGAAGGCGGCUCACUGGGGAUUUUCUGACGCUGAGGAACGAAAGCCAGGGGAGCGAACGGG